rnacentral:rRNA from 1 species
UACGUAGGGGACUAGCGUUGUCCGGAAUCAUUGGGCGUAAAGAGCGCGUAGGCGGCCAGAUAAGUCCGGUGUGAAAGUCAAAGGCUCAACCUUUGAAUGCCGCUGGAAACUGUCUGGCUAGAGUCCGGGAGGGGCGAGUGGAAUUCCUGGUGUAGCGGUGAAAUGCGCAGAUAUCAGGAGGAACACCUGCGGUGUAGACGGCUUACUGGACCAUAACUGACGCUGAGGCACGAAAGCGUGGGUAGCAAACAGG